rnacentral:rRNA from 1 species
AGCAGCAGUUCCAUAGACAUGAUUUCAUACAUAAGUGAAGAGAACAAAAGGAGAAAGAGGAAAAGGAUAAUAUUGACAGAACUUUGCUUUGAAUUUGUUCUUCUCGGAAUGGCGUACCUUAUUUCACAAAGAGCACCUCAUGGAUUAGGUAGUUUUAGUGAUGAUGAGCACAAACAAACACUUAGGAAGUACUUGUUGAAGGAUAUGUAUGAUGGCUCAGAAGUGGCAUGCUAUGAUCAGCUACAUUUAACGAAAAGAAAUUUGCAUGAUUUAUGCACCAUGUUGCGUGAGAGGUGUGGUCUGCGUGAUAGUGUGUAUGUGGCUGUGGAAGAAAAGGUUGCCAUGUUCUUGCUAGUAGUGGGUCACGGUCUGAAAAUGAGGUUGCUUCGAGGCACAAACAAGCGGUCUUUGGGAACGAUAAGUACUCACUUUUCCGCGGUGUUAAGAGCCAUUCUAUCUAUGCAUGGGGAGUUCAUUAAGCUUCCAGAUGCUAAUGUUCAACCACCCGAUGACUACAAAUGGAAGUGGUUUGGUGAUGCACUAGGAGCAUUAGAUGGCUGUCAUGUAGAUGUUUCCGUUCCUGUGGCUGCCCAAGGGAGAUACAGGAAUAGAAAGCAAGACGUCAGUACUAACAUGCUCGGUGUGGUGGACUGGAACAUGAAAUUUCUAUAUGUCUUACCUGGCUGGGAGGGUUCCGCUUCGGACUCUAGAGUCCUACGCGACUCCAUGAGAAUUGAUCGCCAAGAUGCAUUUGUUGUACCUCAUGGUAUGGCUUUUUCUCUUGCCUUUUUGUUCUCUUUA